rnacentral:rRNA from 1 species
CGGCCCAGACUCCUACGGGAGGCAGCAGUGAGGAAUAUUGGUCAAUGGACGAGAGUCUGAACCAGCCAAAUCGCGUGAAGGAAGACUGCCUUAUGGGUUGUAAACUUCUUUUAUACAGGAAUAAAAAGAGUUACGUGUAACUUAUUGCAUGUACUGUAUGAAUAAGCAUCGGCUAACUCCGUGCCAGCAGCCGCGGUAA